rnacentral:rRNA from 1 species
CUCUUUUUGUUUUUAUAAUAAGUUUGACCUGCCCGGUGAAUGACUUUAAACGGCCGCGGUAUUUUGACCGUGCAAAGGUAGCAUAAUCAUUAGUCUUUUAAUAGAAGGCUGGCAUGAAUGGUUUGACGAGGAGUUAACUGUCUCAUUUAAAUUAUUUGAAUUUGACUUUUUGGUUAAAAGGCUUAAAAAUGUUAUUGGUAGACGAGAAGACCCUAUAGAGCUUUACAUGUUUAAUAUUUAUAUCAGUCGUUUAAUUUUUAUAUAAAUUUGGUUACUUGUUUUAUUGGGGUGAUAUUUGAAUAUAAUUAACUUCUUUUUUUUUUGCAUUGAUUUAUGUUUUUUUGAUCUUUUAUUAUUGAUUUUUAGAUUGAGUUACCUUAGGGAUAACAGCGUAAUCUUUCCUUGGAGUUCAUAUUUACGGAGUGGUUUGCGACCUCGAUGUUGGAUUAAGAUUACGAUUAGGUGUAGUAGCUUAAUUGGUGGGUCUGUUCGACCUUUAAAUUCUUACAUGAUCUGAGUUCAGACCGG